rnacentral:rRNA from 1 species
UACGAAGGGGGCUAGCGUUGCUCGGAAUCACUGGGCGUAAAGCGCACGUAGGCGGCUUUCUAAGUCAGGGGUGAAAUCCUGGAGCUCAACUCCAGAACUGCCUUUGAUACUGGAGAGCUAGAGUCCGGAAGAGGUGAGUGGAACUGCGAGUGUAGAGGUGAAAUUCGUAGAUAUUCGCAAGAACACCAGUGGCGAAGGCGGCUCACUGGUCCGGUACUGACGCUGCGGUGCGAAAGCGUGGGGAGCAAACAGG